rnacentral:tRNA from 1 species
UCUAAAUGGUAGAAAAGUACAUUGAAUUUAAACUUCAAACAUAAAUAUAAUUAUUUUUUAGAU